CUCCGCCCAGUUCCUUCCAAAGUUUGCCACGUUCUGCGACACUUCAACAAGUUGUGCGGAAGACUCUGACGUUGCGAAGGAAGAAUCGCUCUACUACUACAGGUAAAGUACAGAUACCGAGCAAGAACCCCCGACGACACCUGCCCGACCCUGUCUUGUUUUGACUGACAACAAUGAAGAAGUUCGCCGUGGGACUCCUCUGUGUCUGCCUGCUCAUCGCCUUGGUGCACGUCCAGGAGGCGUCCGGAUUCCGCCGGGGAUUCCGCACGAUCCGGUACCGGAACAGCUACAGUAGCAGCGGCGCCGUGGGGCACGCUCCCGCGCUGGAGGUCACCUUACUGGCCGUCGCCGUGGCUGGGGUGAUGCGGAUGGUGGGAGGCGACUGAGAAAUCGUCAUGGAAAACAGUUAGACCCUGUUUGUUGAUUCAAGUUCAGUCACAAAGCUCUUCAUUUGCUUAUUUUAGUCAGGAAACAAUUUUAGCCUGAACCAUUUAGUGAGAGUAUGUAAUGAUGCACAUUACUUGUAGAUCUCUGUGACAAGUCACACAUGAGCUAGCUUUACACCCAAGUCACUAAAAUACUUUGAAAGGUACAAAAACGGCAACAUAACGGUAGAUUAGAAAAUUUGUGCAAUUCUAUAGAGCAAGCGAGUGAAAAAAUGUUCUUUUAGAGUUUAGAGGAUCAAUAGUACAAAUGAGAUGAAAUACUUUAAGCCUGUCCUGACUGCGCACAACAAUUGUUAAUGAUGUAGAUUUAAAAACGCAAAUAUGAUAAGAUAAAUCUUAAAUUGCAGAGCAGUGAAUUAGUGAAUGUUAAAGAAACUAUUGUCCACGUUCGACUAUAUUGUUGGCUUUCUAGCUUUACUGGAGUUACGCAUGCAUCAAAGUAUAUUGUCUUUAGAACUUUUAUCACACGAUUAUGUAGAAUUCUAUGAACAUAUGUAUAGACGGACGCAGAUGUUACAAGUUCUUCUUGAAUAUAUGGAAACUUCCCUGACAUGUACCCGUCACUGAGUAUUUCUGACAUUUUGCCCCCAGGCUAUGUGGUGGUAGUCUGAAUGAUUUAGUUCUGUUUAUCAAGCAAAUAAAGGGAGCACAAAUAUA